AAAAUAUUUGCAUUUAUAAUUUGUUGAAUUUGUUUUUUCUCUGCUAUGGAUUCUUCCUCACCUUUUGACUCUAUUAUUUUCGAUUUGGAUGAUACUCUGUAUUCGUCUGCGACUGGAAUUGGACAAUCGUUGAAGAAGAACAUUGACGAUUUUCUGGUGGAGAAAUGCGGUUUUCCGGUUUCGAAAGCAUCGGCUUUGCGUGUUGAGCUUUUCAAAACUUACGGCAGUUCUCUUGCCGGAUUACGAGCUAUAGGUUAUGAUGUUGAUGCCGAUGAUUAUCACAGCUAUGUGCACGGAAGAUUACCGUAUGAUUUGAUUAAACCGGAUCCCCAAUUACGAAGCAUUUUGCGUAGUAUUAAUCAAAGGAAAAUUAUUUUCACGAAUUCGGAUCGAAUUCAUGCGAUGAAGGCUUUGGAUCGUCUGGGAAUUACGGAUUGUUUUGAACAGAUCAUUUGUUUCGAGACGAUGAAUUUUAACCUCUCUAAGGCAACAAGGCCGGAAGAGAUUCCGGUGAUAUUGAAGCCUUCAAUGGAGGCAAUGAAUAUCGCCAUUGAAGCUGCUCAGGUCGAUCCUUAUCGCACGCUCUUCCUUGAUGAUAAUGUUAAGAACAUUGCUGCUGGAAAAGCUGUGGGGCUUCAAACAGUUUUGGUUGGAAGAUCAACCAAGACAAAAGAAGCUGACUAUGCAUUAGAGAUAGUGACUGAUUUGGUUCAAGUAGUACCAGCAAUAUGGUUCAAGGAAGAAGAAAAAGAUCAAAAAGUAACACGUACAAGAAGUGAAAUGGACUUUCUUGCAACUACAUCUGUGGUUGCUUAAUCUAUGUCAAGAAGAAAAAGAUCAAAAAGU
rnacentral:misc_RNA from 1 species